GGUCCUGUGAUGUAGUGGUAAGCGUGGUUGUCCUCAACACAGUUGGCCUAGGUUCGAUCCCAGUUGGAAGG
rnacentral:tRNA from 1 species